UGGGGAAUAUUGGACAAUGGGGGAAACCCUGAUCCAGCAAUACCGCGUGUGUGAAGAAGGCCUUCGGGUUGUAAAGCACUUUUAGUUGGGAAGAAGGCAUGGGGGCUAAUACCUUUCAUGUUUGACGUUACCGACAGAAAAAGCACCGGCUAACUCUGUGCCAGCAGCCGCGGUAAUACAGAGGGUGCAAGCGUUAAUCGGAAUUACUGGGCGUAAAGGGUGCGUAGGUGGAUUGACAAGUUGGGCGUGAAAUCCCUGGGCUUAACCUGGGAACUGCGUUCAAGACUGUCCGUCUAGAGUAUGGUAGAGGGAAGUGGAAUUUCCGGUGUAGCGGUGAAAUGCGUAGAUAUCGGAAGGAACAUCAGUGGCGAAGGCGACUUUCUGGACCAAUACUGACACU
rnacentral:rRNA from 1 species